GAUGAACGCUGGCGGCGUGCUUAACACAUGCAAGUCGAACGGAGUGCUCAUGACGGAGGAUUCGUCCAACGGAUUGAGUUACUUAGUGGCGGACGGGUGAGUAACGCGUGAGGAACCUGCCUUGGAGUGGGGAAUAACAGCCCGAAAGGGUUGCUAAUACCGCAUGAUGCAGUUGGGUCGCAUGACCCUGACUGCCAAAGAUUUAUCGCUCUGAGAUGGCCUCGCGUCUGAUUAGCUAGUAGGUGAGAUAAAGGCCCACCAAGGCGACGAUCGGUAGCCGGACUGAGAGGUUGAACGGCCACAUUGGGACUGAGACACGGCCCAA
rnacentral:rRNA from 1 species